rnacentral:lncRNA from 1 species
GAUGAUCAGCAACUUUACCCUUCUCCCACACUGGACCCUUGCCUUCAAGGUGUGUGGGAUAUAGCUGCUUUCAUCACCGUGGGUUUCAGUGUGGAUUUAAAACAAAUUUAUCAACACCUACUUAAAGAAAAAAAAGACUAUCGGUCCUUGCCAAAGAUCCUUUUGCUACUGAUUCUUCAAUGUGCAACUACCUUCAGGGGAGUAAAAGGUCCUUUUCUGUUCUUGAGAAGAGACCACAGAAAUCAUCCCCAUGAACUGACCCUGGCUGAAAUUUUGAGCCAAAGAGUAGAGACUAACAAAAAUGCCACAUGCAGAUUUAUGCAUCUGCUGACUGCUUUGCUCCCAAGAAGUUUUCUGAACCCAGGGUUUCUGGGUUCAGUUUCUGAAAAGAAACCAAAUGAUCUGGACUGGCAGGAGAGAACCCUGGUGAGAAAGAGAAAAGCUGAAGUGGGGCCCCGUCUAAUGGCAGCGGAGCUGCUGUAGUCAUCCUUUGAUCAGCGGGAACCUACACCUACCUCUGAGAAGGGUAUGCUGCAAGAGACCCUCCGUAAAGGUCUGUAAGCAGAACGAUGUAUGAUAGUCACAUUAAUAUAAUCAGCUUAUGAAAUCUUAUUUUAUGAAUACUCAAAUCCGUUUACUUGCUUUUAC